ensembl:lncRNA
ACUCCCUGUUGAACAAAUACCUUGCUCAAACAUAUGUAAUCACUUUAUAUUUUAUUUGGUUUGUUCAUGAAUUGAAGGAUAUGAGGAAUCUACUCUUUUCCAUUUACAACUCAUGACUUAAUAUUUAGACAAAAAAAUUAGUCAUGGCCAUUUCCUAAUUCAGAAACCAGCGUUUUAACUCACUGAUCUAAUCUAAUUUAAGCGAAUCUGGCUUUUAACAUCUCUUCAGAUUAAGAGAUUCUCCAUUUCCAAUGCACUCUGGUGUUAAUGUGGAAACUGGAUCUCUGUUUUCUUUGUUAUGGGAGUAAGGGCUGUUUGUCCAGGUUAUGCAACCGAUGGCUGGUUUUCUGUCAUCAAUCACUCUACAGAAGCCUGGCUGGACUGCCUGUGACCUCCACCCACACCAAGUCUCAGAUGAGAUGGUUUUUAGGAAGGAUGAGUGUAUUAUUUGUCAAAGAUGUACAACUGGAAGUUCAAGCAUGUUUUUUUUCUUUCCACGGUCACGGUCUCAUCAGAUCUGUAAUGCUGGAUGUUCUGCUAGAGCGGGCUGCUCUUAUCUCUUUGAAUCUCUCUGUCGGAUUUUUUAACUUGAAACGCAAAGGAGACCUUUUGACCUGCCUGUCAACCUCGCUGGCCCCCAAACCCUUCCCCGGCUUCUUUGAAUGGAACUUGACAAGAACAACAACUGCGCUCAUCACUUAGGAAUUCCCAACCCUUGACCUUCCUGCAUUCAUCAAAAAAGUCAGAGGCGAGUGUCAAGAGUCACUUUCAAGUCACCGUGGCUUUCCGUGUUUAAACGUUUAUGGAUAUUCAACUUCUCAGACUUGCAAACAUGUCACACUCGGUACAUUUGGGAAAGCUGUCCUGAUUCAAUGUCUUCAGUCUUUGUUCCACGUCGCUCUUUCUCUUUUUCAUCACUCUCUCCCAUCCGCAUUAUAAGAGACCCCUGAGAGGAGCAAAGGGGGCGAGAAAGAAAGAGAGCAGAGGACUGGAACAAGGCAAAUGGGUAGAAGGAGGUUAUUGUGGAAAAAGGGAUUACUGCCUGGCAUUGUCCUGCCUUAAUCCCACCAUUUUACUAUCAUUUAACACCUUUCAAUGGCGGCCCCCCACUUCCCAUCCUCCUCCGCACACACAAUCUGCUCUCAACCUCCCUCCUCAGACAGCGUGAAAUCUGUUAUUCAGCCCAGGUCAAGCGGGUGGGGGGCCUGGAUGUUGGGUGGGGUGACAAGUAUGGGGGUGUGGGGUGUUUCGGGGGACGUCCGGCCGUUUUCUGACCCCAGCUUCAUCUAUUCUCCACGGCUCAACUCAGGGGCCCCAUAACCCCCUUGGUUGAGAUUGAUGGCCUGCUGUUGUAAAAGAAACCAACACGCUGCUCAAACAAGCAUACAUGGACAUUACUGGCAGCGAAGCUGACUUGUGACGCCAAUCGUUGAUUAUCCCAAAUGAUGUUCUUGUCUUUCUUCAGAGCAAAUGCGUUUCAUUACUUUUCACUAUGUAACUGAUGUCAUACACUAUAUAGAAUUCUGAAAUGAAUGAAUAUUUCCACUAGGGUUUCAUUUCUGCUAUGUAUUGUGGUUAUGACAUUUUAAACAUUUUUGGAAAGAAAUGACUAACUAAUUUGUCUGACUUAGGCUUCCUUUACAUUUUAUGCAUACGAAAUACAGAAAAUUAAAUGAUAAUUUUAUACUUAUUGCAUUACUUGACAAAGUUACAGGAAUGAUUGGAAAUCCUGCUAAAUAAAAAUAUUCUGUUCAUAUUUAUAUAUUAUAUAAUAAGUGUAUAAAUAUUUUUUUUUUGAAACUGAGAUUUAUACAUCAUCUGAAUAAAUAAGCUUUCCAUUGAUGUAUGGUUUCCAUUGAUGUAUGUCCUAUCAUAUAUUGAUAGGACAAUAUUUGGCUGAGAUAUAACUAUUUGAAAAUCUGGAAUCUGAGGGUGCAAAAAAAAAUACAAAAUAAAAAAAAAGUCCAAAUGAAGUUCUUAGCAAUGCAAAUUACUAAUCAAAAGUUAAGUUUUGAUAUAUUUACAGUAGGAAAUUCACUAAAUAUAUUCAUGGAACAUGAUCUUUACUUAAUAUUCUAAUGAUUUUUGGCAUAAAAGAAAAAUCAAUAAUUUUGACCCAUACAAUGUAUUGUUGGCUAUUGCUACAAAUAUAUCUGUGCUACUGAAGACUGAUUUUUGGUCCAGGGUCACAUAUUAUAUUCAUAUUUAUUUUUACUUUUUCUUUGUUUUCUUCAUCUCAGGCUUUCUCUACUACUGACUAUCCUUAAUAAUAUAUAUAUUUUUAAAAAGUUUAUGUUUUUUAUUAACGUUGUUAAAAUGACAUCAGAGCUAUGAGAUGGUCAUAAUGUUCCCCCAUCUAUCUAUCCAUCCAUCCUUCCUCACCACGCCACCCUCCUUCUGAAUAAAAGUGCAGCUGUCAUUUGUUGUCAGUUUUUCCGGCCCCUGCGAGCACUGAGGGCCGCUCCUGGGCCGGGGGUGGGCCAGACCUGGAGGGAGGGAAUGUGGGGGAAACUGAACAGGUGCUGCUCCCCCUUCACUCUCUCUGGAGUCCUGAGGAGAGGAAGUCAGGGCUCUGCUGAAGGGAUUAGAGCUCUGGAUCAAACAGAAGAGCGGCCGUUCUCUCUCUCUGAGGCAAACCCAUGAAUUUGUCGACACUUACACUGUGCCACAGCAACAACAGGCAAUGACUGGUUUGCUAAUUCCAACAUGCUGGUAUAUUUUAUGUUUGACAUGUCAUUUUAUUAUCCAAAGCAACAUGAAUUCAAGGGAUACAUUGCAGAAAUUCCUACAUUCCCUCAUGACCUUGCUACUGCUAGUGCCACCGUUUGAGUUUUAAUGGUCUGGCUAAUAUUUUUGGAGUGAAUAAAAUAAAGGAUUCACAUAUUUAUUUCAGUGAAUCAGUUUGUUUGGAUAGUUUUAGAUAAAUGAACCUUUCACAAAAACAGAUUCACUGAUUUAAAACUUUGCUGCAGAAGCAUUUCAGAUAAAUACACUCUUAAAAAUAAAGGUGCUUCACAAUGCCAUAAAAGAAUCUUUUUGUCUAAAUGGUUCCAUAAUGAACCUUUAACAUCUGAAGAACCAUUCUGUUUCAUAAAAGGUUCUUUGUGGCGAAAGAAGGUUCUUCAGAUUAUAAAAAGGUAAGAAAGAGAUGGUUCUUUAAUGAACCUUUGACUUAAUGGUUCUUUGUGGAACCAAAAAUGGUUCUCCUAUGGCAUCACUGUGAAGAACCUUUUGAAGCACCUUUAUUUUUAGGAGUGUAGUUAAAUACUUAGUAUAUUUAAAUAAUAUUUGAAGUUAAGUUAAACAUAAAUGCUGUUCUUCACAGCUGUCUUAUUUACAUAAUUAAGGGUGUAUUCUGUUCUUUUUAUUUAUUUAUUUAUUAGUAAUUUAACUUUUCAGGGUGAAUGCUUUUAGCUUUUAGAGUUAAAAACAUUUUUUUUAAUUAAUUUUUUUUUCCAGCAAAUAUACAUUAAAAUUGAUCAAAAGUGACUGUAAAAAGUGUAUAACGUAAAAAAAAUAAAAAAAAUAAAAAAAUAAUAAUAAAUAAAAAACAAUUAUAUAUAUAUAUAUAUAUAUAUAUAUAUAUAUAUAUAUAUAUAUAUAUAUAUAUAUAUACACACACACACACACACAUUUACAUUUAGUCAUUUAGCAGACGCUUUUAUCCAAAGCGACUUACAAAUGAGGACAAUGGAAGCAAUCAAAAUCAACAAAAGAGCAAUGAUAUAAGAGUGCUACUGUAUAACAAGUCUCAAUUAGCUUAACUUUUUGCUUUUGUUAAUUGUAUAAUAAAUGAAAAGAAAACAGAUAGAAAACAAAAAGAUUAGAAAGCUAGUUAGAUUUAUAUAUAUAUAUAUAUAUAUAUAUAUAUAUAUAUAUAUAUAUAUAUAUAUAUAUAUAUAUAUUUCAAAUAAAUGCUGUUCUUUUGAAAUUUCCAAUUAAUAAUACUCUUAAUGAUCCUAAAAAGUAAUGCCUCAUAUUUUCUACAAAAAUUAUUUAGCAGCGAAAACUGUUUUCAACACUGAAUAUGCACUAUUGUUAAUAACUGAGCACCAAUUAUUACUGACGAUAAAUCAGCAUAUUAGAAUGAUUUCUGAAGGGCUAUGUGACACUGAAGACUAAUGUAGUAAAAAAAAUAAUAAUAAAAAAUCCACAGAAGGCUUUUGGAAACAUUAAAAAAUUAUUUAAAACUUUUGACUAGUAGUGUAUCUUUAAGAACACACUGCCACCUUAAAUAGUUUCAGUGUUGUUAGUUAAUGUUUAUUAGUAGUGUAAUGUAGCGAACUAUUUUUCUAAAAUGUAACUCUACUGUAAGUGAACUGCUUAUUAAAUUAUGAUUAGCUUAAGUUGCCACCCUACCGUUUCAAAAUACCAUGGCCAACACCUUUUAUGAGAACUAAAUGUAAAAAUCAAGCAAGUUUGUUUAUGAAUAAUACACCUAAAAGCAUUGCUAGAGCAACAAUGCUUUUACGUUUACCACCAAAAGAUGAGCCAUGGGACAGCGUAUUACAAUGGCAAUAUCCUGACACUAGCUAUAAACCUGAGAGGAAAACAAUGGCAAAAAGGACAUUAGCCUCGCCUUUGCCUCAAGUGAAUUUUGGACAGGUUGAAUGGGAGGUCAGAGCAAUUUGACACCACUUUGCUGAAAGGGGAAGGUCACGCUUGGGCAGGUGGAGGUCAGUUUAGCAAAAGAGCGUCUGCAUUCUGUAUGUGUUAGUGCAGGACAGGAAACAGAAGUGUUACGCUAGUAACUAGCAGUACAGGCCUCUAGCGAUGGGAAGCUGGAAAGUGAGAGACAUGGGAUGGGGGUGCUUUGGUUGAAACAGAAAUACGACUGCUAGCAUCAGUGUUUUGGCAUGUGGAGGGGAGGAGGAUUGAGCAGUGUUGGGUUUCACAAUGGCUGGCGUCCUGAAAUGAGAAAAAAAAAAAGUGGUGGUUGUCCUCAGCACAAGCUAGCUUCCUCUUGCGGCUCUGGGUUUCUGUAUGUGUUUGUUUGAGCUUGUUUAUGAGGAUGUUUCUAUGACACUAGGAUGUGAGUGAGUCAUUUAGGGCCAGUGUGAAGUUUCAUUCUUAGUUUUUUAUGUGUCUCUGCACGUGUGUUGCAAAAUUAGCUUAUUUAGCUAUUAAACGAUUUGUCAUGCUUAAGUUUAUGCCUGUUGUAACUUUAAUCCGAUUGCAUGUUUGUUUAAGCCUGCAGGGAUGUCAUUCUUAAAUAUGGUUUUGUACAUUAGAUCGAAUAAGAGUCAUACUGUAGAUCAAGCUUUGGAUAAGUGCCUUAAAUUAUAGAGAAGUGUAUCCGUUUUAGUGUUUGUUGAGUCUACAUUAAAGGUAGAAAGGACAGAGCUAAAAGGAACAUAUUGAUGGUAAUGUGUUUCCUGUUUUUAGCUUUCACUCUGGUGUCAAUCCUCAGAGAGAACAUAGUGUUCUGACAGACUGUGUGUGUGUGUGUGUGUGUGUGUGUGUGUGUGUGUGUGUGUGUGUGUGUGUGUGUGUGUGUGUGUGUGUGUGUGUGUGUGUGUGUGUGUGUGUGUGUAUAUAUGACAGUCAGACAUGAACACAUCACUGAGCCGAGACAAAAGUGCAUCACAAAAUCAUCAGGAAAAAAAAAAGUAAAAAUGAGGCCUGUUUUUAGAACAAUAUCUUGUUUCCCUUUAAACAUUAUUUUGCCUUUUAAUGCAAGUAGCACAUUACUG